UACGGAGGGGGUUAGCGUUGUUCGGAAUUACUGGGCGUAAAGCGCGCGUAGGCGGAUUGGAAAGUAUGGGGUGAAAUCCCGGGGCUCAACCCCGGAACUGCCUCAUAAACUUCCAGUCUGGAGUUCGAGAGAGGUGAGUGGAAUUCCGAGUGUAGAGGUGAAAUUCGUAGAUAUUCGGAGGAACACCAGUGGCGAAGGCGGCUCACUGGCUCGAUACUGACGCUGAGGUGCGAAAGUGUGGGGAGCAAAC
rnacentral:rRNA from 1 species